UGCUGUGUUAUCGUACCCAGGUGUCGCGGGAUGCUGUGUUAUCGUACCCAGGUGUCGUGGGAUGCUGUGUAAUCGUACCGAGGUGUCGCGGGAUGCUGUGUAAUCGUACCCAGGUGUCACGGGAUGCUGUGUAAUCAUACCCAGAUGUUGCGGGAUGCUGUGUCAACGUACCCAGGUGUCGGAGGAUGCUGUGUAAUCGUACCCAGAUGUCACGGGAUGCUGUGUAAUCAUACCCAGGUGUCGUGGGAUACUGUGUAAUCAUACCAGGUGUUGCGGGAUGCUGUGUAAUCAUACCCAGGUGUUGCAGGAUGCUGUGCAAUCAUACCCAGGUGUUGGGGGAUGCUGUGUAAUCAUACCCAGGUGUCGCAGGAUGCUAUGUAAUCAUACCCAGAUGUCACGGGAUGCUUUGUAAUCCUACCCAGGUGUUGCAGGAUGCUGUGCAAUCAUACCCAGGUGUUGGGGGAUGCUGUGUAAUCAUACCCAGGUGUUGCAGGAUGCUAUGUAAUCAUACCCAGAUGUCACGGGAUGCUUUGUAAUCCUACCCAGGUGUCGUGGGAUGCUGUGUAAUCCUACCAAGGUGUUGCAGGAUGCUGUGCAAUCAUACCCAGGUGUUGGGGGAUGCUGUGCAAUCAUACCCAGGUGUUGCAGGAUGCUGUGUAAUCAUACCCAGGUGUUGGGGGAUGCUGUGUAAUCAUACCCAGGUGUCGCAGGAUGCUGUGCAAUCAUACCAGGUGUUGGGGGAUGCUGUGUAAUCAUACCCAGAUGUCGCGGGAUGCUGUGCAAUCAUACCCAGGUGUUGGGGGAUGCUGUGUAAUCAUACCCAGGUGUUGCGGGAUGCUGUGUAAUCAUACCCAGGUGUCGCGGGAUGCUGUGCAAUCAUACCCAGGUGUUGGGGGAUGCUGUGUAAUCAUACCCAGGUGAUGCUGUGUAAUCAUACCCAGGUGUCG